rnacentral:rRNA from 1 species
UACGAAGGGGGCUAGCGUUGUUCGGAAUCACUGGGCGUAAAGCGCACGUAGGCGGAUCUUUAAGUCAGGGGGGAAAUCCCGAGGCUCAACCUCGGAACUGCCUUUGAUACUGGGGAUCUCGAGUCCGGGAGAGGUGAGUGGAACUGCGAGUGUAGAGGUGAAAUUCGUAGAUAUUCGCAAGAACACCAGUGGCGAAGGCGGCUCACUGGCCCGGUACUGACGCUGAGGUGCGAAAGCGUGGGGAGCAAACAGG